AUGGAGAGGAGAAGAGAAUCGCCUGCGAUGGCGCGGGAGGAGGGUCGGGGGUUGGACUUCCUCGAGAGCCUGGGCCCGGACAUCUCCGCCACCGUCUUCAGCCUGCUCGACGACCCCGCCGACCUCGCGCGCGCCACCGCCGUCUCCCGCUCCUGGCGCCGAUUCGUUAUUGCAAACCAGUUCAGCAAGAUCCUGUGCCUGUGGGUUUACCCGGAGGUUUCCAACUUCACGCGUGUUGAGCUGAGCAGCAUCAGCAGUGCACACCGAAAUGCUGGGUCAAGUGCUUUUGCUGGGCUGGAGAAGCUCGGGAGGGAUCACAGAGUGUAUAUGCAUCUUAGCCAUGAUCUUCUCUCGCCGUAUGACCCCAAGGAUUGCAUCAGUUGCUGCGUAGGUGCGUCCAGCACUGAUCAUUUGCCUGAAGAGGCCAUAGAAAAUACCCUUGAACAUGAUGAGGAGUGGAGACCGUCUUAUUGGUCGAGCGGUGGCCAGAAAGAUCCUGCUGUGCCAGAAUGCCUGAUAUAUAGCCUUCAGUCAGAGCUGUGUCUCGUUGAUGAAAUCAGGAUACGGCCAUUAAAAGCAUUUUUCCGAUAUGGUCAUCCGAUAUAUUCAGCAAAACACGUCCGGUUCCGCCUGGGCUAUCUAAAACCACCCCACUGGUCUGAAACACAUGUAUAUGUUCAAAGUGACGCGGAGCUGACUGAUGAUAGCAACUAUGUCUGGACGUACACAUCUCCGGAAUUUCCAAUGUUGCAGGAAAAUGUGAUGCAGUCUUUUAAGCUACCACACUCAGUUCUAUGUAUUGGUGGAGUGGUAAAGAUUGAGCUUCUUGGGAGGGUCCACAAGGACACGUUUGACGGUCUGUACUACAUAUGUGUGUCUCAUAUCCAAAUAGUGGGGAAGCCACUGUCAGAAGAUUUUGGGGUCGCUCCUAGCAAAAAUGAUGUAGUUCUCAGUUACUAUCUGGAUUAUCGUAGAUUCGGGGGACGAUCACAACAAAGUACUUGGCUUUGCGAUGAGGAUCUGGCACUUCGGUAUGGCUCGAGGGAUAGGAGGACUGAACCAUGA
rnacentral:rRNA from 1 species